rnacentral:rRNA from 1 species
UACGUAGGGUGCGAGCGUUGUCCGGAAUUAUUGGGCGUAAAGGGCUCGUAGGCGGUUUGUCGCGUCGGGAGUGAAAACCCAGGGCUUAACUCUGGGCUUGCUUUCGAUACGGGCAGACUAGAGUGCGGUAGGGGAGACUGGAAUUCCUGGUGUAGCGGUGAAAUGCGCAGAUAUCAGGAGGAACACCGGUGGCGAAGGCGGGUCUCUGGGCCGUAACUGACGCUGAGGAGCGAAAGCGUGGGGAGCGAACAGG